rnacentral:lncRNA from 1 species
CCGGAAAGAAGAAGUGGUGUUUGAACUGUUUUCAUAUACAUGUGUGAUAAAUCCAAAAAAUGCCGGGUACAAGGCCAAAUAGGAUCGUCUUUCAGUACCAAUUCUGGCUCGACAACAUUGAAGCGGUCAAGGGAAAGGCCUCUUCCUCCCCCUCACUGCGUUCCCACUUGGGAUAGAUUUCGUUUUCUGCUCUCUCGUGCCAUUUGAACUUCUGUCUUGUCUAGCUCACGAAUGGAUGCACCUCCGGAAGAAUCUUGUAGUUUCAUAGAGAAAUGAGAUCCAUGGGUGAAAAAUCAUCUCUUUCUUGUGUCGGAAGGACUAGUGUUUGGAGCAAGCAAAGCAAGAGGCAGGCCCGCAAGGAAAACCGAUAAUUAGAUCGGUUAUUCUACAUAAAUAGAAAGAAUUCCGUAUAGUGAAUCCUGAGCAAGGAGUGAGUCCGGUCGAUCGGUAAUGAAGUGUGCCCGAUGUCUAACCGUCAAAAUGAAAGACAAGGGGCAAGAGGCCCCCGAGUGAUAGGUUCGGAACGAGCAUUUUCUAUACAGACAUAUGUCCAAAUUCUCCAAGUUUUUCAUGUUGUCUGGGGAAGGAGUUCUUUGGUUUUUAUUCAAUGUAUUACUACGUAGAAAGAAGAGUCCUUUGCCUUAGCAUGGAGCUAUAGUAGGACCUGGGUGAACAAAAGAUUUCAAGCUCUACCAUAGAGGUUGGUCCUACUAGUUAGUAGCAGUUUACAUCAACUUAGAUGAGUUGGAAUUCCCAUCUUUUUCAAGUAGGUUAAACGAGCACAUAGGAACCUCUGCUAGUAGGAUCAUAUCGAUAAAGUGCCAACCGAACCAAUCUUUAUUACUUAAAUUAACAUCCGAAGCAGGCAAGAUAGGAGCAUGAGCACCCAAACCCAUAUCAGAAAAGCCUUGGCUUAGCCAUAACGAGAUCAAUCACUCAGUCUUCGCUACAGAAGAUGCCUCUAAGCUGGAGCUUGAAACUAAAUUAGAAGCGACAGGAAUAAAGCCCUUUCUAGGGCUGUUAUGCCCGGGGUAGAAAACCAGAACAAAGAGAGAAACUCAACCUG